AUACGUAGGUGGCAAGCGUUGUCCGGAAUUAUUGGGCGUAAAGCGCAUGUAGGCGGUUUGGUAAGUCGGUCGUGAAAAUGCGGUGCUUAACGCCGUAUGACGAUCGAAACUGCUGAACUUGAGUGCAGGAGAGGAAAGGGGAACUCCCAGUGUAGCGGUGAAAUGCGUAGAUAUUGGGAAGAACACCGGUGGCGAAGGCGCCUGUCUGGACUGUGUCUGACGCUCAGAUGCGAAAGCCAGGGUAGCGAACGGGAUUAGAUACCCCGGUAGUCCUGGCCGUAAACGAUGGGUACUAGGUGUGGGAGGUAUCGACUCCUUCCGUGCCGGAGUUAACGCAAUAAGUACCCCGCCUGGGGAGUACGGCCGCAAGGCUUAAACUCAAAUGAAUUGACGGGG
rnacentral:rRNA from 1 species